AACGAACGCUGGCGGCAGGCCUAACACAUGCAAGUCGAGCGAGGACUUCGGUUCUAGCGGCGGACGGGUGAGUAACGCGUGGGAAUGUGCCCUUCUCUACGGAAUAGCCCUGGGAAACUGGGAGUAAUACCGUAUACGCCCUAUUGGGGAAAGAUUUAUCGGAGAAGGAUCAGCCCGCGUUGGAUUAGGUAGUUGGUGGGGUAAUGGCCUACCAAGCCGACGAUCCAUAGCUGGUUUGAGAGGAUGAUCAGCCACACUGGGACUGAGACACGGCCCAGACUCCUACGGGAGGCAGCAGUGGGGAAUCUUAGACAAUGGGGGCAACCCUGAUCUAGCCAUGCCGCGUGAGUGAUGAAGGCUUUAGGGUUGUAAAGCUCUUUCAGCUGGGAAGAUAAUGACGGUACCAGCAGAAGAAGCCCCGGCUAACUCCGUG
rnacentral:rRNA from 1 species